rnacentral:rRNA from 1 species
GUGCCAGCCGCCGCGGUAAUACGGAGGGUGCAAGCGUUGUCCGGAUUUAUUGGGUUUAAAGGGUGCGCAGGUGGUUUAUUAAGUCAGUGGUGAAAGACGGUCGCUCAACGAUUGCAGUGCCAUUGAAACUAGUAGACUUGAGUAAAGUAGAGGUGGGCGGAAUUGAUAGUGUAGCGGUGAAAUGCAUAGAUAUUAUCAAGAACUCCAAUUGCGUAGGCAGCUCACUUGGCUUUUACUGACACUCAUGCACGAAAGUGUGGGUAUC